ACUCUGGUUUCUCUUUGUAACAAACAAGUCUUUCGCCUUUUACUGAAGACUUCCGUGAUGUAGGACAUGAACAGACACAGGAAUUCCUGUAGGUCUUAGGUGUGUGUAGAUC
rnacentral:snRNA from 1 species